UACGGAGGAUCCUAGCGUUAUCCGGAUUUACUGGGUUUAAAGGGUGCGUAGGCGGGCGUUUAAGUCCGCGGUGAAAGUCUGCGGCUCAACCGUAGGAUUGCCGUGGAUACUGGACGUCUUGGAUUCGGUCGGGGCGGGCGGAAUGCGUGGUGUAGCGGUGAAAUGCAUAGAUAUCACGCAGAACGCCGAUAGCGAAGGCAGCUCGCCGGGCCGAAAUCGACGCUGAGGCACGAAAGCGUGGGGAUCAAAC
rnacentral:rRNA from 1 species